rnacentral:rRNA from 1 species
ACGCUGGCGGCAGGCUUAACACAUGCAAGUCGAACGGUAACAGGAGAAAGCUUGCUUUCUUGCUGACGAGUGGCGGACGGGUGAGUAAUGCUUGGGAAUCUGGCUUAUGGAGGGGGAUAACGACGGGAAACUGUCGCUAAUACCGCGUAGAGUCGAGAGACGAAAGUGCGGGACCGCAAGGCCGCAUGCCAUAGGAUGAGCCCAAGUGGGAUUAGGUAGUUGGUGGGGUAAUAGCCUACCAAGCCGACGAUCUCUAGCUGGUCUGAGAGGAUGACCAGCCACACCGGGACUGAGACACGGCCCGGACUCCUACGGGAGGCAGCAGUGGGGAAUAUUGCGCAAUGGGGGCAACCCUGACGCAGCCAUGCCGCGUGAAUGAAGAAGGCCUUCGGGUUGUAAAGUUCUUUCGGUAUUGAGGAAGGUUGUUGUGUUAAUAGCACGACAAAUUGACGUUAAAUACAGAAGAAGCACCGGCUAACUCCGUGCCAGCAGCCGCGGUAAUACGGAGGGUGCGAGCGUUAAUCGGAAUAACUGGGCGUAAAGGGCACGCAGGCGGACUUUUAAGUGAGGUGUGAAAUCCCCGGGCUUAACCUGGGAAUUGCAUUUCAGACUGGGAGUCUAGAGUACUUUAGGGAGGGGUAGAAUUCCACGUGUAGCGGUGAAAUGCGUAGAGAUGUGGAGGAAUACCGAAGGCGAAGGCAGCCCCUUGGGAAUGUACUGACGCUCAUGUGCAAAAGCGUGGGGAGCAAACAGGAUUAGAUACCCUGGUAGUCCACGCUGUAAACGCUGUCGAUUUGGGGAUUGGGCUUUAAGCUUGGUGCCCGAAGCUAACGUGAUAAAUCGACCGCCUGGGGAGUACGGCCGCAAGGUUAAAACUCAAAUGAAUUGACGGGGGCCCGCACAAGCGGUGGAGCAUGUGG